GGCCGCGUGGCCUAAUGGCUAAGGCGUCAGAUUUCGGUUACAAGCGCACACCGACUUCUCUGAAGAUUCCAGGUUCGACUCCUGGCGUGGUCG